CCUGACUCGCUGACUGAUGCUCGUCUGCACUGCACAGAGGAAAUCAGCUGACCGAGGAGUGUUUCUGAGUGAGGGGGGAGGAGUCAUCAUCCAGGUAAAGUGACGUGGAUCAGUGGAUACACUUGUCUCCCCUUUAAAGGAGACGAUCCAAGUCAUCCUUAAAUAUGGGCAGCAUAUCAGUCUUGGACUGUCUAACCUGCAGCACUGAAUGACCACCACACAUGAGCAUGUUCCUGCAACAUUCAGCAUCUGAUCCUUCAUCUGUGUGCUGCUGCUUUUGGUAAGUAGAGUUACCCAACUCCAGUAACUCUAAACACAUGCCAU